AGGGGUAUAGUUCAGUUGGUAGAACGUUGGUCUCCAAAACCAAAUGUCGUGGGUUCGAGUCCUACUACCCCUGCCA
rnacentral:tRNA from 1 species